GCGUCGGUAGUGCAAUGGUUGAACACGCGCUCCCGGAAACAGCGAAAUCUGAGUUUGAAUCCCAGCUGGCGCA